rnacentral:rRNA from 1 species
UACGUAGGGUGCGAGCGUUAAUCGGAAUUACUGGGCGUAAAGCGUGCGCAGGCGGUUUUUAAAGUCAGCUGUGAAAGCCCCGGGCUUAACCUGGGAAUUGCGGUUGAAACUACAGGGCUAGAAUCUGGCAGAGGGGGGUGGAAUUCCACGUGUAGCAGUGAAAUGCGUAGAGAUGUGGAGGAACACCGAUGGCGAAGGCAGCCCCCUGGGCUGAGAUUGACGCUCAGGCACGAAAGCGUGGGGAGCAAACAGG